UGCGUAGGCGGAGGAUUAAGUCAGUGGUGAAAUCUCACAGCUCAACUGUGAAACUGCCAUUGAAACUGAUUUUCUUGAAUACGGUUGAGGUAGGCGGAAUACGUUAUGUAGCGGUGAAAUGCUUAGAUAUAACGUAGAACACCAAUUGCGAAGGCAGCUUACUAAGCCGUUAUUGACGCUGAGGCACGAAAGCGUGGGGAGCGAACAGGAUUAGAUACCCUGGUAGUCC
rnacentral:rRNA from 1 species